UACGUAGGGUGCGAGCGUUAAUCGGAAUUACUGGGCGUAAAGCGUGCGCAGGCGGUUUUGUAAGCCAGAUGUGAAAUCCCCGGGCUUAACCUGGGAAUGGCAUUUGGGACUGCAAGGCUUGAGUGCGGCAGAGGAGACUGGAAUUCCCGGUGUAGCAGUGAAAUGCGUAGAUAUCGGGAGGAAUACCGAUGGCGAAGGCAGGUCUCUGGGCUGACACUGACGCUCAUGCACGAAAGCGUGAGGAGCAAACAGG
rnacentral:rRNA from 1 species